rnacentral:tRNA from 1 species
GGUGGCUCAGUGGUAGAGCACUUGCCUUGCAUGCAUGAGGCCCUGGGUUCAAUUAUUCAGCACCA